rnacentral:rRNA from 1 species
GACGAACGCUGGCGGCGUGCCUAAUACAUGCAAGUAGAACGCUGAAGGAGGAGCUUGCUCUUCUGGAUGAGUUGCGAACGGGUGAGUAACGCGUAGGUAACCUGCCUGGUAGCGGGGGAUAACUAUUGGAAACGAUAGCUAAUACCGCAUAACAGUAGAUGUUGCAUGACAUUUACUUAAAAGGUGCAAUUGCAUCACUACCAGAUGGACCUGCGUUGUAUUAGCUAGUUGGUGGGGUAACGGCUCACCAAGGCGACGAUACAUAGCCGACCUGAGAGGGUGAUCGGCCACACUGGGACUGAGACACGGCCCAGACUCCUACGGGAGGCAGCAGUAGGGAAUCUUCGGCAAGGGACGGAAGUCUGACCGAGCAACGCCGCGUGAGUGAAGAAGGUUUUCGGAUCGUAAAGCUCUGUUGUAAGAGAAGAACGAGUGUGAGAGUGGAAAGUUCACACUGUGACGGUAUCUUACCAGAAAGGGACGGCUAACUACGUG